rnacentral:rRNA from 1 species
CUCGUUUUUAGUUGCCAGCAUUAAGUUGGGCACUCUAAAGAGACUGCCGGUGACAAACCGGAGGAAGGUGGGGAUGACGUCAAGUCAGCAUGCCCCUUACGUCCUGGGCUACACACGUACUACAAUGGUAGGGACAGAGGGCAGCCAACUCGCGAGAGUGAGCUAAUCCCGUAAACCCUGCCUCAGUUCAGAUCGCAGGCUGCAACUCGCCUGCGUGAAGGCGGAAUCGCUAGUAAUCGCCGGUCAGCAUACGGCGGUGAAUCCGUUCCCGGGCCUUGUACACACCGCCCGUCACACCAUGGAAGUUGGCCAUGCCCGAAGUCGUUACUCUAACCGCAAGGAGGAGGAUGCCGAAGGCAGGGCUGAUGACUGGGGUGAAGUCGUAACAAGGUAGCCGUACCGGAAGGUGUGGCUGGAUCACCUCCUUUU